CGCGUAGGCGGCCCGCCAAGUCCCGUGUGAAAGCCCCCGGCUCAACCGGGGAACGGCGCGGGAAACUAGCAGGCUUGAGUUCGGGAGAGGGAAGCGGAAUUCCGGGUGUAGCGGUGAAAUGCGCAGAUAUCCGGAGGAACACCGGUGGCGAAGGCGGCUUCCUGGACCGACACUGACGCUGAGGCGCGAAAGCUAGGGGAGCAAACG
rnacentral:rRNA from 1 species